rnacentral:rRNA from 1 species
UACGGAAGGCAGCAGUGGGGAAUAUUGCACAAUGGGCGCAAGCCUGAUGCAGCCAUGCCGCGUGUAUGAAAAAGGCCUUCGGGUUGUAAAGUACUUUCAGUCGUGAGGAAGGUGUUAAGGUUAAUAACCUUAGCAAUUGACGUUAGCGACAGAAGAAGCACCGGCUAACUCCGUGCCAGCAGCCGCGGUAAUACGGAGGGUGCGAGCGUUAAUCGGAAUUACUGGGCGUAAAGGGCACGCAGGCGGUUAAUUAAGUUGGAUGUGAAAUCCCCGGGCUUAACCUGGGAAUGGCAUUCAAGACUGGUUUAGCUAGAGUCUUGUAGAGGGGGGUAGAAUUCCAUGUGUAGCGGUGAAAUGCGUAGAGAUGUGGAGGAAUACCGGUGGGCGAAGGCGGCCCCUGGGACAAAGGACUGACGCUCAUGUGCGAAAGCGUGGGGGAGCAAACAGGGAUUAGAUACC